UUUUGGAGGAGGUGUGUGUGCAGCUGCAGACAUCUCUCUCACACACACACUCCGCUCUGCUGUUCAGCGCAGGGUUGUGUCUACAGGUCAACUGCAGGACAACAGGAUGAAGAAAAUCAUCAUAAACUCUGAAGAUGAUGAUGAAGAGUCUGGUCACCGCAGAUGAGGAAGAUCAUGAUGGAGACACUGCAGGAACACACCCCAGACACUGCCCAGAGGUGUGUGUGGAUCAUCAUACGGGAGGCACAGAUGCUGGCAUGAACAGAUGCUGUGUCCGGUGGGUCAGAGUAGUACAGAGCCCAGAGGAGGAACACAGCACACAGGUGUCCAGAUAGUGAUGCUCCAGUGUCUGUCAGCGUCCUCCCGUCAGGUGUGUUUGUGCGUGUGUGUCUGUGUGUGUGUGUGUGUGUGUGUGUGUGUGUGUUUCUCCUUCAGGUGUCCAGAUAGUGAUGCUCCAGUGUCUGUCAGCGUCCUCCCGUCAGCUCACACUGGAGCCACACAGUGGCGCUGUGAGUCCUCCGACUGACCCGAGAAUAACAGCAGACGGGCUUCACCAUCAGUGAUGGACUUUGAGUUGUUAUUGAGAGCUUGUUCACAUGCACCUUUGGUCUGAACACACACACACACACACAGCUGUACUGGUGUUUGCACUGUGCAGACGGUAUAUUCUCUCCUCUCUUCAUCUUCAUCUCCUUCAUUCUGUCUGAUUUAUGGAGACCUCAGCUGAGUCUGUGUGCAUCGAGGGUUAAGUCUCGGCCGGCACCUCUUUAAUCAUUUCAUUGUUUUUUUUUCUAUUUAUGCUUCAAUAUU